GACUUUUGUAACAGGAACACUGGAAAGUGACAUGCAGUUCUUCUUUGUCUGUCUUCCCAGUCAGAGAGCCUGGUAUAAGAGAGCCUGUCUAAUGAUAAAUGGCAGAAUGAUGGUUUCAAGGCAACUCAAGAUGUCUAUGGAUGAAACCUUUGCUGAAUGACCUAUGCUACAAAGGACAGGAGAGGACAAGAUGCAGAAGAUUAUGCACCUAUUAAUGGUUGCAUGAUCUAAGAGAAAAUGUCCUUGAACCAAGAAAUCAUUGAUAUACUGAAUCUCUUAGAAAAUCUGCAGAGCAUUUGAGGAUCUAGAGAAGUAAAACACAAGGUUAGAAGAGGAAAGGAAUCCGAAAGACAAACCUAUACUGUUCAUGAUGUGGGACAGGUGUCAUCAUAACCUGUGACCUGUUCUUGUGAUCCUGACAAGUUACCUACAGAGACAGGAACACAUCAUGGACUUAUUACUGGACAAUAUGCUGGAUAUAAUAUGGUCACACCUAAUAAACUGAAAUUGAAUAACAGGUCUGUACAAAAAUACAAAAAUAAAAAAAAAUCUUUUGUGGUAAGACCUUAGAACUUCAAGGCUGAGAUAUUUUUAUUG